rnacentral:rRNA from 1 species
UACGGAAGGUGCAAGCGUUGUUCGGAGUGACUGGGCGUAAAGAGCACGUAGGCGGGCAAGUAAGUCGAUUGUGAAAUCCCCGGGCUUAACCUGGGAAUUGCAGUCGAAACUGCAUGUCUUGAAUGUCCGAGAGGUUAGUGGAAUUCCUGGUGUAGGAGUGAAAUCCGUAGAUAUCAGGAGGAACACCGGAGGCGAAGGCGGCUAACUGGUGGAACAUUGACGCUGAGGUGCGAAAGCGCGGGGAGCAAACAGG